GACGAACGCUGGCGGCGUGCUUAACACAUGCAAGUCGAGCGGUAAGGCCCUUUCGGGGGUACACGAGCGGCGAACGGGUGAGUAACACGUGGGUGACCUGCCCUCAGCUCUGGGAUAAGCCUGGGAAACCGGGUCUAAUACCGGAUAUGACUCCAUGACGCAUGUUGUGGGGUGGAAAGCCUUGUGCGGCUGAGGAUGGGCCCGCGGCCUAUCAGCUUGUUGGUGGGGUGAUGGCCUACCAAGGCGACGACGGGUAGCCGGCCUGAGAGGGCGACCGGCCACACUGGGACUGAGACACGGCCCAGACUCCUACGGGAGGCAGCAGUGGGGAAUCUUGCGCAAUGGGCGAAAGCCUGACGCAGCGACGCCGCGGGAGGGA
rnacentral:rRNA from 1 species